rnacentral:rRNA from 1 species
UACGAGUUUGAUCAUGGCUCAGAAUGAACGUUGGCGGCGUGGAUUAGGCAUGCAAGUCGAGCGCUCAUAGCAAUAUGGGAGCGGCGAACGGCGUAGUAAGACGUAGGAACGUACCCUCGGGUCGGGGAUAGCUACGGGAAACUGUAGGUAAUACCCGAUAAUCUCUGCGGAGCAAAGGUGUGAUUCCGCCUGAGGAGCGGCUUACGCGAUAUUAGCUAGUUGGUGGGGUAAUGGCCUACCAAGGCGAUGAUGUCUAGGGGGUGUGAGAGCAUGGCCCCCCACGACCGGAACUGAGAUACUGUCCGGACACCUACGGGUGGCUGCAGUCGAGAAUCUUCCGCAAUGGACGAAAGUCUGACGGAGCGACGCCGCGUGCGGGAUGAAGGCCCUUGGGUUGUAAACCGCUGUCAGAGGGGAGUGAAAUACUUCGGAGGUACUCCUCCGAAGUUGACAGAGCCUCAAAGGAAGCACGGGCUAAGUACGUG